UACGUAGGGUGCAAGCGUUGUCCGGAAUUAUUGGGCGUAAAGAGCUUGUAGGCGGCUUGGCAAGUUGGAUGUGAAAGCCCACGGCUCAACCGUGGAAGCGCAUCCAAAACUGCUUCGCUGGAGUCUCGGAGAGGAAGGUGGAAUGCUUGGUGUAGAGGUGAAAUUCGUAGAUAUCAAGCAGAACACCUGCGGCGAAGGCGGCCUUCUGGACGAUGACUGACGCUGAGACACGAAAGCGUGGGGAGCAAACAGG
rnacentral:rRNA from 1 species